GAUGAACGCUGGCGGCGUGCCUAUUACAUGCAAGUCGAGCGAACGGACGAGAAGCUUGCUUCUCUGAUGUUAGCGGCGGACGGGUGAGUAACACGUGGAUAACCUACCUAUAAGACUGGGAUAACUUCGGGAAACCGGAGCUAAUACCGGAUAAUAUUUUGAACCGCGUGGUUCAAAAGUGAAAGACGGUCUUGCUGUCACUUCUAGAUGGAUCCGCGCUGCAUUAGCUAGUUGGUAAGGUAACGGCUUACCAAGGCAACGAUGCAUAGCCGACCUGAGAGGGUGAUCGGCCACACUGGAACUGAGACACGGCCCAGACUCCUACGGGAGGCAGCAGUAGGGAAUCUUCCACAAUGGGCGAAAGCCUGACGGAGCAACGCCGCGUGAGUGAUGAAGGUCUUCGGAUCGUAAAACUCUGUUAUUAGGGAAGAACAUAUGUGUAAGUAACUGUGCACAUCUUGACGGUACCUAAUCAGAAAGCCACGGCUAACUACGUG
rnacentral:rRNA from 1 species